rnacentral:lncRNA from 1 species
AAUAAUUAAUGCCAACCCAACGGUGGAGAACAAUCCCCGAUGCUUCGUUGGAAAGGCGCGAGCCGUGCACCUCCGUGCGGAAUUUUGGCGAGGCAACGGAACGUUUCUGUGGCGACGGCAUCGCUCUGUGUCCAGAGGGCUCCGAGUUUCCUGAGAACGAUAUGUGGGGUCCUCCGGGUCUGAUCUGUUAAUAAAUGGCUUUAGGAGAAUCCCCACCUCCUUUGGAGGGGGGCCCGGAGGAGGGGAAAAGAGAUUCCUCACUACCGAGCUCAAAGACAGUAGCCACGGCAGACGCGCAGGGAGAAGCGAGUGGCCAUAUUUGAAUGCUCCAACGUGUUUCUGUGGAGAUAGAGGGAGAGCCGGUACUGAAUCGGCUCCUGCUGCUGCUGUUGUUCACCAACGAGUGAGAAUAUGAACCGAGGGCAUUAAUAGGAGGCCCAGAGAACUGGGGUCACAAAAGUCGCCCCACUUGACACUCCUCCUCCUCCUCCUUGGGAACAUGUUUCAACCAUGAAGCACGUGCAGUUCAUUUGCACCAGAACCAGACGAAAGAUCUCUGAAUCCGGACUCCUUCCUAAAUACCUUGUUUUCCCAAGUCAUCUUGUUCUAAGACCGUGAACCUUUGCUUGCGUUAUCUGAGCUGACUUCUAACAGCCGGAAACUUCAAAGAGGAAUAUCUUCCAGGAAGAAAAGGUUUCUCUUUCCGAUGUCACGAGAGGCAAGUUCUCUGAAAGUACUGCAUUUCCCCACCUCAGGGAAAUCAACUUGCGAAGGGAAAUUGAAGCCAAAGGAGGGGCACCUUAUUAAGAAAAUAACUGCUUUGGAUAAGCUGUCCAUCGUGAAGAGGGAGGCCGACGGUGACGAUCCCGAGGGAGAUUUCCCGGCGUCCUUACGCAAGCCUCCGGUGUCGUCGCCGCCGCUUCCGUACGGGAUUUGUGAUCUCCUACCAUUUCGGGUCGGCACUGUUAAGAGAGUCAGGGCAAGGAGGUCUUCGAGGCAGAUGCCGGCUGCUCCCUCUCUCUAGUUUUCUUCGGAAGAACACGAACUGCGACGACCGCCCUGACUGUUUGGAGUGGUGAAGACGAACUCUGAAGCAGAAGAGGACGUGGGGAGUGAAAUAUAAGAUGACGUCAGCAUGGAGUAAGUAACCGCCACACGUGUUCGAUGUCCUCAACAGGGGAGCUCACAUUUUCCUUUCAUCAAAAGAAAACAAAUCUAAUGAAUUGGUUUUCGGCACACAAAUACUCGCUUGAACGAUAAGUCCCGUGUGGGUAAUCAAUCAGUCAUCCGAUCAAUCACUGGAUUACCGGACUCCCCUCCCCUCAACCAGGACACGGUGGAGUGCUUUACGGCCAUUAAGAUCAAAUAAAUAAGCAACCCAAACCGUUAGAACACAGAGCGAAAGAAAUCAGUCCCAAGAGUCGGCAGAGACCCGAGGACGGGAGUAGAAAUGAUGCCAGAAGUAGAACGAGAGAUGUUCCGGUCAUGAUACGGAAAUCUACAGAUUCUGGGAUUGGUCUGAGCCGAGUAGUUCAGCGUGGCGCGGCGGAAAGAGCCCGGGCUUGGGAGUCAGAGUUCACGGGUUCGAAUCCCGGCUCUGCCGCUUGCCAGCUGGGUGACUUCGGGCGAGUCGCCUCGCUUCUCCGUGCCUCAGUGACCUCAUCUGGAAAACGGGGAUUAAAACCGCGAGCCCCACGUGGGACAACCUGAUCGCCUCGUAUCCCCCAGCGCUCGGAACGGCGCUUUGCACAGAGUAAGUGCUUAACAAAUACCGCCGUUUGUUUUUUAGUUUGAAAUCUUGCAGUUCCUUUCCCGGUUUGUCCCCGUCUUUCACAUCUUCAUUUGUCUUUCCUUCCGUUGCUGACAAUCCUCCCCCUCCCUUUUAACUUUCUUAACACUGUGAUCCCCUUGGAGGUUAAAGACCAUGUUUACUCCUCAUCCGUGUCUUGGAUAAUAAUAACUGUGGUAUUCGUUCGUUCAUUCAUUCAACAGUAUUUAUCGAGCGCUCACUACGUGCAGAGCACUGUACUGAGCGCUUGGAAUGGACAAAUGGGCAACAGAUAGAGACGGUCCCUGCCCUCUGACGGGCGCACGGUCCGAUCGGGGGAGACGGACGGGCGAGAACCAGAGCGAUAAGUGCUUACUGGGCGCCCGACGCUGUACUGGGUCCUGGGGUGGAUCCAGGGGCAAAUCAGGUCGGACACAGUCUCUGUCCCACGUAGUGCUCACGGAGUUAAACCCCGUUUUACAGAUGAGGUAAAUGAGGCACAGAGAAGUGAAGUGGCUCGCCCUAGAUCACACAGGAGGCAAGCGGCGGAGGCAGAAUCAGAACCCAGGUCCUUCUGACGCCCAGGCCCGUGUUCUAUCCACUAGGUCACGCUCUUUCUCAUG